AACACUGCCAUGACGACAAGUCAUAGAGGGAAGGACUCUCUCUAUUCAGUAUGGUUCUAGAAAGGUUAGAGGGACGUCUACAGGAACUAGAUGCUGACAGACCACGUCUGAAAAGGCAAGCACAGAGCAGAGAAUAAACUCGGAGAGGAGGGACAGGUUUCGACCGAGCUCUUUCGAACAGCAAGGGCACAUUACUUUAACGUCCAAAAUCAGUGUCACGAACAGACAACCAAGUGCUUUGAUGUGCAAAACUUGAAAGCACCAUCCUGACAAAGAACAAGAAAACCAGAUUACAAUGGAAAUAUCCUGAGGAAUACCUACAAACAUUUCCGACCGGAGCAAUAGGAGACACACUCUUGAUUUUCAGAUGCAAUUUUCUCCAAAGUAUUUCCCACAAGGAUACAAUGUAUCCAUUAUCAAGGACCCCUACUGGAGAAGCGUAACUGGUAAAAUGUUGCCUAUACCAAGGCAGAUCAUGAUUCAGCAAAGUUGAACACUUGGUAUUGUGGUAAGCUCUCCACGCUAUGCUUAGGUAUGGAAUUACAUAAUAAAAUAUAUCGACAAUA
ensembl:lncRNA